rnacentral:sRNA from 1 species
AUGGCGUCAAACAAGGACGGAACCCCUCAAACCCCUCAAGAGACGGAAGAUUCUACAGAACAGGGUCGGGUUCGAACUCUUACGGAAAGGGGAGAACAACAUUAUGAAGACAAGAGAGAACACCAUAAGGACAGAGUGGAAAAGGCUUGGACCAGAUUUCAAGAGACAUUGAACAGAAUUUCUAAUUGUGGAAUCAAUGAUGUGAAUGACUUGGAGUUGGAGUUGCUACAGAACUACCAAGAGACUCACACAACUACAGGUAAACCAUCUACCACGUCACGCAUGACUACAGACCAAAGGUCAGUGAUUGUCCGGAAGACAGAUGUCCAUACUAACACUUCAAGACCUCCAGACAAAGUGUACCCGAUACAUUUAUCCGAUCAUUCUUUAAACCACUGCAGGGAAUACCCAAGAUGGGAUAUGAAAAAGCGCAAGGACUUGUUAAAGAAGAAGGACAUCUGUUUUAAGUGCUGUGCAUCAAAAAACCAUCUAAUGAAAAAAUGCAAACAACCCAUACAGUGUGAGAAAUGUGACAGUGAACUACACCCAACAGCACUGCACGUUACGGAGUCCAAUACUAGAAGAACAACCUUCAACAGUUCAGAAACGGCAAAACAAUUAUGGUGGGGAGGGAACAGAGGUAUCCUCUAA